rnacentral:rRNA from 1 species
CCUACGGGUGGCAGCAGUGGGGAAUAUUGGGCAAUGGGCGCAAGCCUGAACCAGCAACGCCGCGUGAAGGAAGAAGGCUUUCGGGUUGUAAAAUUCUUUUGACAGGGAAGUGUAGACGACGGUGCCUGUCGCAUAAGAAACGGCUAACUACGGGCCAGCAGCCGCGGUAAUACGUAGGUGGCAAGCGUUGUCCGGAUUUACUGGGUGUAAAGGGCGUGUAGCCGGGUUGACAAGUCAGAUGUGAAAUCCUGCGGCUUAACCGCAGAACUGCAUUUGAAACUGUUGAUCUUGAGUACAGUAGAGGUAGGCGGAAUUCCUGGUGUAGCGGUGAAAUGCGUAGAUAUCAGGAAGAACACCGGUGGCGAAGGCGGUCUGCUGGACAGCAACUGACGUUGAGGCGCGAAAGCGUGGGGAGCAAACAGGAUUAGAUACCCGAGUAGUC